rnacentral:lncRNA from 1 species
AUGGGAAAUGCCUGGGAAGGGGAGGCCCAGCCGUGGCCCUGCUCCCAGCCAGACCACCAGCCCAGAGCUGCUCUGCUCGGCCCCGGUCCCAGAGGGGGAGUGGGACCCGCACCUGAGCCACGUGCUGGGUGUGCAGUGGUGGCUCCAGAGGUGGAGGAGAGUGUGGAUGGGCUGCUCUGCUGUCCCCCCCAGCCCAGCGAGGAUGAGGAUGGAGCGAGGCAGGAGGAGGACAGGCUGCCUCUCCUGGUGCUGAAUGGAAAACCUCUGUCCUUGGAUUGCUGGCAGAGCUGCCCCAGCUGCAGGCACAGCCCCUGCUGGGCUGCCCAGUCUCGGGGCAAAGGGGGCACAGAUUUGGCAAUCCAGGGUCUCCUCUGGGCCGGAGGAUGGAAGGUGAAGCCCUUUCUGCUGUGGACUCAGAUCCUCCUGCUCCAGGGAGCCCUUGGAUCAGUGCAGCAGGGGCUGGCUUGGGCUUCACAAAUUCACCUUUCAACACAACUUUUGAUUCCCAAGGGCUCUUUUUCUCCUCCUCUGUGCAUGUUUUUGCAGGAGGGGACUGUUGCACAGGUGAGCAGCACUGUCAGUGUGUGCCCAUGCCCUUCAGUGCUCACCAAAGGGGAAGUUGUCAGUGAAUCCCCCUUGUCCCCAAAUGUCCAGAUGGGUUGUCCUGUCCCCUUGCCUGGUGGUGCUUACAGAAAUGGUGAUGUUGGUGUGUUUAUCAACAGCUGUGCUGCGCCACGCCUUGCCCACAGGGUCCUGGGGCCUUGGGGGACACGUGGCCCCUGCCAGGGAGCCUUGGUCUGUGUUUCCAUCCAUCCUGCUGGGAGUGGUGAGCUGGAGCUGGGCCGAGGAGCUGGUUGCUGCCCUGGCCAGUCAGGCACAAGAGUCCCACCCCUACCGUGUACCAGAGGCAGUGCUUCACAGCUUGUGUGGAAAUGGGGAUGGCAGAUGUCAUAUUAA